rnacentral:lncRNA from 1 species
CAAGCAUGUAUUGAGUGCCGACUGGGUGCCAGGCACUGUUUCUAGGCUCUGGAAAUAUAGCUGGGACAGAUAUAGAGACCCUGCCUCAGGAAGGUGACAUUCUGGUGGCCAAACGCAUGCGAACACUGUCCUCCCGCAUUCAGUGAGUGUUUACCGGAAGCCAAGCUCUGUCCCAAGCACUGUGCUGAUGAUAUCUCAUUUCAUCCUCUCUGUCACUGUAGGAGGCAAUCUUUAUUGUUAUCCCAUUUUACAGAACACACUCUCCUGCCUUAAGAACCCACCAGCAAGAACCCCCUUCCCCACAUCUUCCCAUGGUCCUUCUCAUCCUUCAGGUCAAAUUGCUUCUCAAAAGGCAGUGAGGGCCAGGCACGGUGGCUCACACCUGUAAUCCCAGCACUUUGGGAGGUCGAGACACAGGGCCCUACUUUGUUGCCCAGUCUAGUCUCAAACUCCCGGGCUCAAGCGAUCCUCCCACUCCAGCCUCC